CAACCCUCGAGCCCCUCCGGGGGGUCGGCGUUGGGGAUCGGCCCUCCCUCGCGGGGGCCGGCCCCGAAAUGCAGUGGCGGUCUCGCCGCAGCCUCUCCUGCGCAGUAGUUUGCACAACUCGCACCGGGAGCGCGGCGGGCCCAUGCCGUGAAACAGCCCAACCUUCUGAAA
rnacentral:misc_RNA from 1 species